ACGCGCAAUAGACAUUUCAUGACUUCCGGGCACUUCGUAAGGUUUAAAUAAGGAUGCUUUGCGUUAGCUCGGCCUCUUGGAGACAGUCGCCGCCGUCGGUACAUCGGCCCAGAUUCGUUAAGUACUCCAAGUAACUCUUGGAAAGAAGAGGAGCUGCACUUGACCUUGGGCAUUGACAUGUAAUUUUUGGGUCCUUUAUAUAGAAGGAAGAGUAGGUAAACUGAAUUUUUUUUUAGCAGGGUUUCACAAUCUUUGGCAGACUGGGAGGAAAACACUGGGGUCCAUUUCAUACCUCUUGUAAAAGCUGCCCCCUAAACAGAAGUUUGUUUUGUAUUAAAGACUUUGGAAUUUGGCAAUUGGUUAGAAAUGCGCAUUUUCACCGCAUUCACACCUUAAGAAGUGUAGUUUGACCUUACGACUUUUGGCAGGUGUGUUAAAGUCCUUGAGUAUUGUGCUACUGUGUAAUUUCUAAUGUAUUUGUAAUUUACCUAAUAAAUCACCUAUGUUAAUGUAUUUAUGAAAUAAAAGAUGACUGUACA